GUAGGGGGCUAGCGUUGUCCGGAUUUAUUGGGCGUAAAGCGCGUGUAGGCGGCCAGGAAGGUCCGCUGUGAAAACUCGAGGCUCAACCUCGAGAUGUCGGCGGAAACCCUCUGGCUAGAGUCCGGAAGAGGAGAGUGGAAUUCCCGGUGUAGCGGUGAAAUGCGCAGAUAUCGGGAAGAACACCCGUGGCGAAGGCGGCUCUCUGGGACGGUACUGACGCUGAGACGCGAAAGCGUGGGGAGCGAACAGGAUUAGAUACCCUGGUAGUCCACGCCGUAAACGAUGGGUGCUAGGUGUGGGCGGUGUCGACUCCGUCCGUGCCGAAGCUAACGCAUUAAGCACCCCGCCUGGGGAGUACGGCCGCAAGGCUA
rnacentral:rRNA from 1 species